GACGAACGCUGGCGGCGUGCUUAACACAUGCAAGUCGAACGGAAAGGCCCUGCUUUUGUGGGGUGCUCGAGUGGCGAACGGGUGAGUAACACGUGAGUAACCUGCCCUUGACUUUGGGAUAACUUCAGGAAACUGGGGCUAAUACCGGAUAGGAGCUCCUGCUGCAUGGUGGGGGUUGGAAAGUUUCGGCGGUUGGGGAUGGACUCGCGGCUUAUCAGCUUGUUGGUGGGGUAGUGGCUUACCAAGGCUUUGACGGGUAGCCGGCCUGAGAGGGUGACCGGCCACAUUGGGACUGAGAUACGGCCCAGACUCCUACGGGAGGCAGCAGGGGGGAAUAUUGCACAAUGGGCGGAAGCCUGAGGCAGCAACGCCGCGUGCGGGAUGACGGCCUUCGGGUUGUAAACCGCUUUCGCCUGUGACGAAGCGUGAGUGACGGGAAUGGGUAAAGAAGCACCGGCUAACUACGU
rnacentral:rRNA from 1 species